GCACAUGGUCCAGAAAACACAAAUUCUAGAAAGGGUGGACAGAGGUCAGAGAACAGAAACAAUGUCUACUGUAAAAUAAAUCAGAGACACCCUGGUCUACUGCUCCUGCAUCUGUCAAAGUGUGCCCUGGUUUCUACAAUCUCCUCCAAGGAGAAUAGCCUACCUGGUUCUUCAGGAAGGUCAGCCAACUUCUCAGCAAGCUGCCAUGUUGUGAGUUUCCCUAUGGAUAGGCAAGAACCUGAGGGUGGCCAGUGAGGAAGAGGC